CGAGCCGUGCGGGCGGCCGCGGCGUGACCUCACCGGUCGCGUCGAGGAACGUCCGGACUCCGCAGAGCAGGGUGGUAGGUAACGCCUACCUGGGGCGACCCACGGGAAAGUGCCACAGAAAGCAGACCGCCGGGGGCCGGAGACGGCGCCCGGUAAGGGUGAAACGGUGGUGUAAGAGACCACCAGCGCCCAGGGUGACCUGGGCGGCUCGGUAAACCCCACCCGGAGCAAGGUCAAGAGGGGCCGUCGCGAGGCGGCCCUGCGCGGACGCAUGAGGGCUGCUCGCCCCAGUUCGCGGGUAGACCGCACCGAGGCCGGUGGCGACACCGGCCCCAGAUGGAUGGCCGCCUCCCGGCCGCCCGCGAGGGCGACCGGAGACAGAAUCCGGCGUACAGCACGACUCGUCUG
rnacentral:RNase_P_RNA from 1 species